rnacentral:rRNA from 1 species
AUUGAACGCUGGCGGCAGGCCUAACACAUGCAAGUCGAGCGGAGCGGCGGACGGGUGAGUAAUGCCUAGGAAUCUGCCUGGUAGUGGGGGAUAACGUACGGAAACGGGAGCUAAUACCGCAUACUAUCAGAUGAGCCUCGGGCGGAUUACCUAGUUGGUGGGGUAAAGGCCUAACAAGGCGACGAUCCGUAACUGGUCUGAGAGGAUGAUCAGUCACACUGGAACUGAGACACGGUCCAGACUCCUACGGGAGGCAGCAGUGGGGAAUAUUGGACAAGUGGCGAAAGCCUGAUCCAUCCAUGCCGCGUGUGUGAAGAAGGUCUUCGGAUUGUAAAGCACUUUAAGUUGGGAGGCGUUACCAACAGAAUAAGCACCGGCUAACUUCGUGCCAGCAGCCGCGGUAAUUC